rnacentral:rRNA from 1 species
UACGUAGGGCGCAAGCGUUGUCCGGAAUUAUUGGGCGUAAAGAGCUCGUAGGCGGCUUGUCACGUCGGAUGUGAAAGCCCGAGGCUUAACCUCGGGUCUGCAUUCGAUACGGGCUAGCUAGAGUGUGGUAGGGGAGAUCGGAAUUCCUGGUGUAGCGGUGAAAUGCGCAGAUAUCAGGAGGAACACCGGUGGCGAAGGCGGCAUCCUGGACCAACACUGACGCUGAGGAGCGAAAGCCAGGGGAGCAAACGGG